rnacentral:lncRNA from 1 species
AUGAAAGCAGAGAGACCACAGCAAGGCAGGGAAUUCCCCAACAGCAGAAUCCUGGCGCACAGGUCAUGUGGAAAGGCACUACAGGACAGUAAGUCACAUCUCCUGGGCCAAGCAGUUGGAUCCACAAGGGUACAUGUGCAGCCUCUAUGGAUACAGCCAUCCAGAAGGCUGAAUUUGUGUGCCAAAGAAACAGGCAGCCCAAGAGUGUGGAACUCUGCAAACAACCGUGAAAACCCCUACUUACUGAGCGACAAAGAGUACCAGUUCCUAUAUUCACCAGAAUACCUGAUCUUCAUUUCCCCAGAUGACCUGUGUUGGGACUUCGUUCAUGUUCUUACAAAGCACGUUCCAGAACUCUUCUUUGGUACAUCCUGAAAACAUAUAUAUAUUUUUAGAAAGGAAGAAAAAUUAGUAUGAAAGACAUGAACUUUGUUCCAUUUAAUGCUAUUGUCCUAGAUCCACGUGUUCUGUGUAUGGAGUAUUUCCAUUUGUGUACAAGUUACAUGUAUUAUUAUAGUCCGUGACUUUUUAUAGGACCUGUUGGUAUAGUUCUUUCUGCCAGACAAACUCUGCUCUUACAUAUUAGGUAGCAUUUGUUAUGUGUGUUUCACACAUCAUCAAGCCCCGUCAGGAUCUACAAAUACAGAUAUCAAUUCACUUGUAUCAGAAACAGAGCAGAUACACAUAGCCACUUCUGGCACAGAUGGGAGGUAAGGGCUCCUGGUUGGAAUGGGAUUAUCAUCAACUGUAGUUCUUAAAAAAACAGCUCUGUUCUUCUGAUCCCUGUGUGUUGCAUGAUGUAGCUGGCUUAUGCGAUAGCCCCCCUCAUGGCCAGGGGUCACUUUGCAGGCAUCCUGCUGCUGUUUCCCCCCCUUUUCAGGGCCCCCUUGAGACCUGCACACAAGCUUUUCACAUGGACCAAACACCCUCCUCCCACCCCGCCUGGAACUCUUGCUCUCACAAAGGAUCAAGCACGGAUACUCCAAGCCAAAACCAGCCAACGAGUACCACAGAAGCUGACACUGAGAGAACAGAGGACAAGAGCUGUGCUCCUGCUUUGUCUGCCUCGCAGCACCAAUGGAGAUAUUCCGAAGACAAAGACUUAAUAGCAAACCUCUCAAAAACAACAAGCCCAAACUGGAGCCAGUGUUGGAGGAGCAGGAUGUAGUUUGCCUUCCAUGGUGCUUUUUAGGAAAUCUGAGAAACAAGUUCAGAAGUAAUGGUUCAGAAGAUCCCUAGGCACUCCCGUUGUUUCAGAGACUACUGAGGACUGGUGGUUCCUCAAUGAGUCUGCAUAGGAUCAGUUCAGUAGACGCUGGGAUUCAAAAAGUUAAAGCUUAAUAAACCAUCAAAACACAAAUUGUCA